rnacentral:rRNA from 1 species
UACGAAGGGGGCGAGCGUUGUUCGGAAUCACUGGGCGUAAAGGGCGCGUAGGCGGCCCUUCUUGUCGCGUGUGAAAGCCCCGGGCUCAACCUGGGAAUGGCGCGCGAGACGGGGGGGCUGGAGUUCGGGAGAGGAGCGUGGAAUUCCCAGUGUAGAGGUGAAAUUCGUAGAUAUCAGGAGGAACACCGGUGGCGAAGGCGGGACUCUGGGCCGAUACUGACGCUGAGGCGCGAAAGCGUGGGGAGCAAACAGG